UGCCCAUACAUUGUACUAAAAUUCAGUUUUAAAUUUUUUUUCUGGUAUUCUAAGUUCAUUAUCUCUCUUUCUUCUCUAGGUUUCCUUUGGCUUGUAGUCGUGUGGUUUCAAUCUCUUACAUAAGAACCUGAGUUUCUGUCUUUUCCACCUGUUAUCCUUUAAUAAUUUGGAUGCUUGUUUGGUAUCUUCAAGAUAUUUGGAAUGUGCCUCCUAUGUUUUCAAUAUCGCCACUGCAACACUCUGUUGAAUUCACUUGGAUUUUCCAGACUAGCAAUAUGUAAUAUAAAAAUAAUAAAAUUUCUACUUUUGUGAUAGGUUUUUGAAUUCCAGUUGGCUUCAGAGGACAUGAAAGCCCUGGAUGGCUUGAACAGAAAUUUCAGAUACAACAAUGCAAAAUAUUUUGAUGACCAUCCCAAUCAUCCAUUUACUGAUGAAUAGUAACAUGGUGGACUUUGUCAGCAUUUCUAUCGGAAGAUCUGUUUAUGCAUUGUGAUUUGAAAGAUAUCUUGGAUACUGGUGACUGAACGCAUCAGACCACUGUUUCUGUUAAUUCACAGUCAGCUGGAGCAAUGUCCACAGUGCUAUGAGGGAAGCCAUGUUUUUGUCACACUCUGAAAUGGAACAUCACGUUGCUUUUCCUUGUGUUUUUAAAUAUUCAUUUAUUUUGCUUUCCAUAUAUGAAUAUUUUCCCUACAUGUAUGUGUAUCUCAUGAAUGUCUAUGUCCAUGCAGGGUUGAAGAGUGUUGCAGGUCACUUGGAACCGGAGUUACAUUGAUUAUGGAGUUACCAUGUGGGUGCUGGGAGCCAAACCUAGGUCUUCUGUGAGACUAGCAAGUGCCUUUGAAUGCUGAGCCAUCUCAUUAGGUCCAACCCUAAAGAUCCUUGCCUGCCACUAUUUCUGUGAUCUCAAUGUUUUGUUUUCUCCUGACUUCUGACACCAAGCUGAUUUGCUAGAAGUCUUGGGCAUGAAGUGGGUGUUGAGGACAGUUAUUGCAAAGGGAUUUCUGGGUGGGAGUUGAAAGAACGUUCAACAUUCAGGGAAUUAAUUGUUCGAGGUUAUUGAUUAGUCAAUAUUCCCCAUAUUCUUUGAGGAAGAAGAAAGUACUCCAUAGAUUUUCCCUUUUUCUUAGUUUUGAGGUAGGGCACCUGUGGCAGGAGUGACCAAGAGACCCAGGGUUCUCUCCAACAG
rnacentral:lncRNA from 1 species